UCUAGAUCCUGGAGCGUCCUUGAGUGUCCUUCCAGCCAGAGCCUGAUCUCUUCCCUUUGUGUGCAGCAGGGGGAAGCAGAAGAUAAAUCAACCACCUCUUGAGCCUGCUGGGUCAGGAACUUGACAGGAUAAAACCAAUAACUUAGUUAAAACUCCAGCAAGGACGACAAAAGUCACCACAGAAAAGCUCUGAGGCCUCUUCGGCUCUUUCAACGUGGUGCAUGAGAGCUUCAGAAAGAUUUCUCAUGGUCAAGCUCUGACGAAGCACAGCAUACAACAUGACAUUUCUGAUGUGACAAUCCUCCUGGAUUCAGAGUGGGUGGCAUGUAAGUAGUGAUGACUUCUGGUGGAAUGAUGGACAGCUAUGGGCAAAUAUCAAACCUUUUGUGGCAUGCAACAUCUUAGAGAACUACCUCCUUCAGAAUAAGAAAAUCCCCAAAGGAAGAGAGACUUUAAAGGCAAAAUAGUUUGCACUGUACAUGAUGGUGUCU